UGGAUUUGUAUCAGGUUGUCCUAAAGUACUC
rnacentral:piRNA from 1 species